rnacentral:rRNA from 2 species
ACGGGAGGCAGCAGUGGGGGAUAUUGCACAAUGGGGGAAACCCUGAUGCAGCGACGCCGCGUGAGUGAAGAAGUAUUUCGGUAUGUAAAGCUCUAUCAGCAGGGAAGAAUAGAUGACGGUACCUGACUAAGAAGCCCCGGCUAACUACGUGCCAGCAGCCGCGGUAAUACGUAGGGGGCAAGCGUUAUCCGGAUUUACUGGGUGUAAAGGGAGCGCAGACGGUCUUGCAAGUCAGAAGUGAAAUCCCCGGGCCCAACCCGGGAACUGCUUUUGAAACUGUAGGACUUGAGUGUCGGAGAGGUAAGCGGAAUUCCUAGUGUAGCGGUGAAAUGCGUAGAUAUUAGGAGGAACACCAGUGGCGAAGGCGGCUUACUGGACGAUAACUGACGUUGAGGCUCGAAAGCGUGGGGAGCAAACAGGAUUAGAUACCCUGGUA